UCUGGUUGAUCCUGCCAGUAGUCAUAUGCUUGUCUUAAAGACUAAGCCAUGCAUGUCUAAGUAUAAGUAUUAUACAGCGAAACUGCGAAUGGCUCAUUAAAACAGUUAUAGUUUAUUCGAUUAUUUGCCCCUACAUGGAUAACCGUAGUAAUUCUAGAGCUAAUACAUGCUGUCAAACCUGACUUUUGUGGAAAGGUUGUAUUUAUUAGAUAUAAACCAAUACCUCGCAAGAGGGAUUGUGAUGAUUCAUAAUAACUGAGCGGAUCGCGAGUCUCUCGCGACGAAUCGUUCAAGUUUCUGCCCUAUCAGCUUUCGAUGGUAGUGUAUUGGACUACCAUGGCGAUCACGGGUAACGGGGAAUUAGGGUUCGAUUCCGGAGAGGGAGCCUGAGAAAUGGCUACCACAUCUAAGGAAGGCAGCAGGCGCGUAAAUUACCCAAUCCUAAUUCAGGGAGGUAGUGACAAGAAAUAACAACUCGGACCUCACUCGAGGUUACGAGAUUGCAAUGAGAACAAUUUAAACCACUUAUCGAGUAACAAUUGGAGGGCAAGUCUGGUGCCAGCAGCCGCGGUAAUUCCAGCUCCAAUAGCGUAUAUUAAAGUUGUUGCAGUUAAAAAGCUCGUAGUUGAAUUUCUGGCUGGCGCUGUGCUUGGCUCUCUGAGUCGGUUCAGUGCUUAGUCAUCCGUAUGGGAAGCUAGCUCGGCCUUCACUGGUCGGCUAGUGGAUCAUACACUUUACUUUGAAAAAAUUAGAGUGUUUCAGGCAGGCAAUUGCUUGGAUACUGCAGCAUGGAAUAAUGGAAUAGGACUUUGACCUAUUUAUUGGUUUCUCGAGGUCGAAGUAAUGAUUAAUAGGGACAGUUGGGGGCAUUCGUAUUUAAUUGUCAGAGGUGAAAUUCUUGGAUUUAUUAAAGACGAACUUAUGCGAAAGCAUUUGCCAAGGAUGUUUUCAUUAAUCAAGAACGAAAGUUAGGGGAUCAAAGACGAUCAGAUACCGUCCUAGUCUUAACCAUAAACUAUACCGACUAGGGAUUGGUGAGGUCUUCUAAGCCUCAUCAGCACCUUAUGAGAAAUCAAAGUCUUUGGGUUCUGGGGGG
rnacentral:rRNA from 1 species